rnacentral:rRNA from 1 species
CCUACGGGGGGCAGCAGUGGGGAAUAUUGGACAAUGGGGGGAACCCUGAUCCAGCCAUGCCGCGUGUGUGAAGAAGGCCCUAGGGUUGUAAAGCACUUUCAGUGAGGAAGAACGCCUGGUGGUUAAUACCCAUCAGGAAAGACAUCACUCACAGAAGAAGCACCGGCUAACUCCGUGCCAGCAGCCGCGGUAAUACGGAGGGUGCGAGCGUUAAUCGGAAUUACUGGGCGUAAAGCGCGCGUAGGUGGCUUGAUAAGCCGGUUGUGAAAGCCCCGGGCUCAACCUGGGAACGGCAUCCGGAACUGUCAAGCUAGAGUGCAGGAGAGGAAGGUAGAAUUCCCGGUGUAGCGGUGAAAUGCGUAGAGAUCGGGAGGAAUACCAGUGGCGAAGGCGGCCUUCUGGACUGACACUGACACUGAGGUGCGAAAGCGUGGGUAGCAAACAGGAUUAGAUACCCGAGUAGUC